UACAGAGGUCUCAAGCGUUGUUCGGAUUCAUUGGGCGUAAAGGGUGCGUAGGCGGCGCGGUAAGUCGGGUGUGAAAUCUCGGAGCUUAACUCCGAAACUGCAUUCGAUACUGCCGUGCUUGAGGACUGGAGAGGAGACUGGAAUUUACGGUGUAGCGGUGAAAUGCGUAGAUAUCAGGAGGAACACCGGUGGCGAAGGCGGGCCUCUGGGCCGAUACUGACGCUGAGGAGCGAAAGCGUGGGGAGCGAACAGG
rnacentral:rRNA from 1 species